AAAUUGAAGAGUUUGAUCAUGGCUCAGAUUGAACGCUGGCGGCAGGCCUAACACAUGCAAGUCGAACGGUAACAGGAAGCAGCUUGCUGUUUCGCUGACGAGUGGCGGACGGGUGAGUAAUGUCUGGGAAACUGCCUGAUGGAGGGGGAUAACUACUGGAAACGGUAGCUAAUACCGCAUAACGUCGCAAGACCAAA
rnacentral:rRNA from 2 species